UUUGCCUCUAGAGGAGUUAUAGGUGUGACUGCUAUGUCACAUUUGUGUUAGUAGGUGGCGAGAGGAGAGAGGCUAUGGUCAUACUCAGCGUUUUGACCUAUGAACAUCUGAUUGAUCAAUAACCUAACAUU